rnacentral:rRNA from 1 species
GACGAACGCUGGCGGCGUGCUUAACACAUGCAAGUCGAACGAAGUGGCGAACGGGUGAGUAACGCGUUAUCAACCUGCCCUUCAGAGGGGGACCACAGUUGGAAACGACUGCUAAUACCGCAUACUGAAGGACGGGAUUGCGGUGGAUUGGCUAGUUGGAGGGGUAACGGCCAACCAAGGCGAUGAUCAGUAGACGGUCUGGGAGGGUGAACGGACAAAUUGGGACUGAGACCCGGCCCAGACUCCUACGGGAGGCAACAGUGGGGAAUCUUCCGCAAUGGACGGAAGGCUGACGGAGCAACGCCGCGGGAGUGAUGACGGCCUUCGGGUUGGAAAGCUCUGUUAAUCGGGACGCGGUACCGGAAUAGAAAGCCACGGCUAACUACGUGCCAGCCGCCGCGGUAAUUC